GGCCUGGUGGUGUGGCGGUAACACGGCUCCGCGCAAGAGCUAUGACCCGAGAAAGGAAAAGAGCUUCGCGCGGUAUUCCUGUUCGAACCAGGGCCAGGCCA